rnacentral:piRNA from 1 species
CUAAUCAUUCAAGGUGCAUCAGAC